rnacentral:rRNA from 1 species
AGCGAAACGGGAAGAGCCCAAACCAACAAGCUUGCUUGUUGGGGUUGUAGGACACUCUAUACGGAGUUACAAAGGACGACAUUAGACGAAUCAUCUGGAAAGAUGAAUCAAAGAAGGUAAUAAUCCUGUAGUCGAAAAUGUUGUCUCUCUUGAGUGGAUCCUGAGUACGACGGAGCACGUGAAAUUCCGUCGGAAUCUGGGAGGACCAUCUCCUAAGGCUAAAUACUCUCUAGUGACCGAUAGUGAACCAGUACCGUGAGGGAAAGGUGAAAAGCACCCCGGAAGGGGAGUGAAAUAGAACCUGAAACCGUGUGCUUACAAGUAGUCAGAGCCCGUUAAUGGGUGAUGGCGUGCCUUUUGUAGAAUGAACCGGCGAGUUACGAUUUGAUGCAAGGUUAAGCAGUAAAUGUGGAGCCGUAGCGAAAGCGAGUCUGAAUAGGGCGUUUAGUAUUUGGUCGUAGACCCGAAACCAGGUGAUCU